UGAACAGGGUCUCUAGUGGUUCAGGAUGUGUGUGUGUUGAACAGGGUCUCUAGUGGUUCAGGAUGUGUGUGUGUUGAACAGGGUCUAAUGGUUCAGGAUGUGUGUGUGUUGAACAGGGUCUCUAAGUGGUUCAGGAUGUGUGUGUGUUGAACAGGGUCUAGUGGUUCAGGAUGUGUGUGUGUUGAACAGGGUCUAGUGGUUCAGGAUGUGUGUGUGUUGAACAGGGUCUCUUAGUGGUUCAGGAUGUGUGUGUGUUGAACAGGGUCUCUUAGUGGUUCAGGAUGUGUGUGUGUUGAACAGGGUCUCUAAUGGUUCAGGAUGUGUGUGUGUUGAACAGGGUCUCUAAGUGGUUCAGGAUGUGUGUGUGUUGAACAGGGUCUCUAGUGGUUCAGGAUGUGUGUGUGUUGAACAGGGUCUCUAGUGGUUCAGGAUGUGUGUGUGUUGAACAGGGUCUCUAGUGGUUCAGGAUGUGUGUGUGUUGAACAGGGUCUCUAAGUGGUUCAGGAUGUGUGUGUGUUGAACAGGGUCUCUAAGUGGUUCAGGAUGUGUGUGUGUUGAACAGGGUCUCUAGUGGUUCAGGAUGUGUGUGUGUUGAACAGGGUCUCUAAGUGGUUCAGGAUGUGUGUGUGUUGAACAGGGUCUCUAAGUGGUUCAGGAUGUGUGUGUGUUGAACAGGGUUAGUUUAAGGCUACUUCCUAGUUUUAGUACAAUUAAUGCUGCAGCAAUUUCUACCGUUAGUCCUCUCCUGACACCUAGAGGAUGAGAGGGGAAUUGCAGCAGAGAAUACCUGAAUGGGGCUGUGGACACGUAUGUAGGAUCCCUCUCUCCUCACCCUUUACCUCCAUCUGCAACAACCUUUCACCCAUAAUGUGGUCCACAAACACACACUCCACCAUUGAUAGCACAGCUAAAAACACACACAACUGUCGCCUGUGUGUGUGUGUGUGUGUGUGUGUGUGUGUGUGUGUGUGUGUGUGUGUGUGUGUGUGUGUGUGUGUGUGUGUGUGUGUGUGUGUGUGUGUGUGUGUGUGUGUGUGUGUGUGUGUGUGUGUUUGGCUGGGCUAUACAGGAAUCCUUGUUUUAGAGCCGUUUUAUCAGGACAAUAUGUUGAGGGAAGAACAACACUAGUUCACUAACCGCCGUCCGUCUCUUUACUUUGUCUCUGUUAAUCAGAUGCAGGUGUAGUCUUUACCAAGCCAUUUCUGGAGAGACACACACACUGCAGGAGACACUAAUACUUCUAUCAACACGUAUUUCAACUGUC